CCAGAAGCCAAAAUAAUCACCUUUAUGUCAUCAUAUUUGUCAAAAGGGUAUAAAUGUCAUGUUAACACACGUGCGGACCACAUGCUUCUGAUUUUGACCACUUAACCAUGCCUAACGGCCAAAUUAACGGAUUGGGGCAUUUUAAUUUAAAGCCUAACGGCCAGGACAUUUUCACAACCAUGUGGUCCAUUUUGGGGCAUUUUGCCACUUAACCCAAAUAAUUUUGGUUGAAAUCUAUCAUCGCAUCAAAGCUUUAUAAAAUUGAAAUCUCAAUUCAAAACCCUCGGUCUCUCUCCACUUUCGUUUUAAAACCUAACUUUUCAGAACUUAUCUUCUUCAAUUUCACAUCUUCGAUCUGUCUAAAAAAUUCUCUUUCUUCCCUAGCCCCAUUCUUGGAAUUGAUGAUUUUAUGCAAAGUGGGUUUUCAAUUUCUUGUAGUUAGGGUUGAUACUUUUGAACUGAAUGUUGGUCUAAUAGGGUGCUAUUUGAAGUGGGUUUUGUAAAUAGAGGUAAAAGUUUGUUCUUGUGAAGGGGCUGUUUGUGUUGUGCCAAAAUUUGGAUUACUGAAAAAAAUAUGUAGAAUAUCCAUCUGAGGUAGAAGAAACAAAACAUUGAGAAAGUUUUACGGAGAAGGUAUCGGAGAAUUCGCCUUUCUCUACUAACAAUGGAGAUUGGAUUUCUAAUGAUGUUGUUUGAAAGGAAUUAGACGAUGAGCUGGAGAAUUUUAGUAUUUUUGGCAGAUAACUUGGAUAACAUGAAUACGUUGAUAAUGAGAAUUUGCACAAACACUUUUUGCUGGUGUGAUCACUAAGUUGAAGUAGAAAUUGCUAUUGCAAGGAAGGAGGUGGGAGAGUUCUAGUGGGUUCGCAGAGACAAAUCUUGUGUCUGCAAAGAAAUUGUUACAAACGGCAGAGAUGUAAGCUACCUUGAGACACAUACAAGAUGGACUAUUACUGCUAAAUUUAAGCAUCACAGGUUAUGUAUGUGAGUAAAAGGCAGAACUUCGAACGACAAACGAUUCUAAAGAUACUCGAACCUAUUAUAUGAUAUGCCGGAUUGUGAAGUUAAUACAUAUUUGUGUCCUGGUGAAGCAUCAGAGGAAGUUUACUCAACUCAUUCAGCGGAGAAUAUACAAUGUGAACCGUAACAGGAUGACGAUGAUGCCCUUGUUAAUUUGGUCGUAGAACUGAUGUUCCUAAGAAUCCCAAUGAAACCCUUAAGUUACGAUACUGAUUAUGCCAGAACGCAGUUAAAGGGAAAAUGACAAUCAGCGAUACUGAUCUUGGAAAUGUUUAUACUGCUACUGACAAUGAUCAUUGCAUUGAGUUUGAAGAAGGCUUUGAAGAAUCUGCAACGAGAUAGACUGAUUGAUUUCGGUUGUGAUGAUUAAUUUGAAUAAUCUAACAACAAAACAACAUUGUUUAGGGGAGAAUUUGCAUUGUUAUUGCACAGAUUUAUGUUUGCAUAGUAAAUUUUUGUUUGAUUGGUGUUAUUCUCUGUUCGAACAGUUUCUUUAGGAAACUUGGUAUUUCACCGAUCCUUGUUAUAUCUCUUGUUUACACAUUUUGUUUGAUCUCAUUAAAAGGAUUCAUGUUUUCCUUUAUAAACA